rnacentral:rRNA from 1 species
AGUGAACGCCUGCUUUCUUCCUCCCCCCUUCACUUCUACCUUCAUCACAUUAAGAGCUUGCUCUUACUGGUGGCGAGUGGCGGACGGGUGAGGAAUACAUCGGAAUCUACUUUUUCGUGGGGGAUAACGUAGGGAAACUUACGCUAAUACCGCAUACGACCUACGGGUGAAAGCAGGGGAUCUUCGGACCUUGCGCGAUUGAAUGAGCCGAUGUCGGAUUAGCUAGUUGGCGGGGUAAAGGCCCACCACGGCCCCGAUCCGUAGCUGGUCUGAGAGGAUGUUAAGCCACAAUGGAAGUGAGACACGGCCCAGACUCCGACGGGAGGAAGCAGUGGGGAAUAUUGGACAAUGGGCGCAAGCCUGAUCCAGCCAUACCGCGUGGGUGAAGAAGGCCUUCGGGUUGUAAAGAGAGUGGGUGGGGAAAGAAAAGCAGCAGGUUAAUACCCCGCUGUUCUGACGGUACCCAAAGAAUAAGCAAAGGAGAAAUUCGGG